rnacentral:tRNA from 1 species
UAGGAAGUGGUGUAGUGGAAGCACUAAGAGUUUUGAUCUCUUGGGUAUAGGUUCGAGUCCUAUUUUUCUAG